rnacentral:rRNA from 1 species
GGGUUGUGAGGUUAAGCGACUAAGCGUACACGGUGGAUGCCCUGGCAGUCAGAGGCGAUGAAGGACGUGCUAAUCUGCGAAAAGCGUCGGUAAGGUGAUAUGAACCGUUAUAACCGGCGAUGUCCGAAUGGGGAAACCCAGUGCAAUUCGUUGCACUAUCGUUAACUGAAUACAUAGGUUAACGAGGCGAACCGGGGGAACUGAAACAUCUAAGUACCCCGAGGAAAAGAAAUCAACCGAGAUUCCCCCAGUAGCGGCGAGCGAACGGGGAGCAGCCCAGAGUCUGAAUCAGCUUGUGUGUUAGUGGAACGGUCUGGAAAGUCCGACGGUACAGGGUGAUAGUCCCGUACACCAAAAUGCACAGGUUGUGAACUCGAAGAGUAGGGCGGGACACGUGGUAUCCUGUCUGAAUAUGGGGGGACCAUCCUCCAAGGCUAAAUACUCCUGACUGACCGAUAGUGAACCAGUACCGUGAGGGAAAGGCGAAAAGAACCCCGGCGAGGGGAGUGAAAAAGAACCUGAAACCGUGUACGUACAAGCAGUGGGAGCACCUUCGGGUGUGACUGCGUACCUUUUGUAUAAUGGGUCAGCGACUUAUAUUCUGUAGCAAGGUUAACCGUAUAGGGGAGCCGCAGGGAAACCGAGUCUUAACUGGGCGUUAAGUUGCAGGGUAUAGACCCGAAACCCGGUGAUCUAGCCAUGGGCAGGUUGAAGGUUGGGUAACACUAACUGGAGGACCGAACCGACUAAUGUUGAAAAAUUAGCGGAUGACUUGUGGCUGGGGGUGAAAGGCCAAUCAAACCGGGAGAUAGCUGGUUCUCCCCGAAAGCUAUUUAGGUAGCGCCUCGUGAAUUCAUCUUCGGGGGUAGAGCACUGUUUCGGCUAGGGGGUCAUCCCGACUUACCAACCCGAUGCAAACUACGAAUACCGAAGAAUGUUAUCACGGGAGACACACGGCGGGUGCUAACGUCCGUCGUGAAGAGGGAAACAACCCAGACCGCCAGCUAAGGUCCCAAAGUCAUGGUUAAGUGGGAAACGAUGUGGGAAGGCACAGACAGCCAGGAUGUUGGCUUAGAAGCAGCCAUCAUUUAAAGAAAGCGUAAUAGCUCACUGGUCGAGUCGGCCUGCGCGGAAGAUGUAACGGGGCUAAACCAUGCACCGAAGCUGCGGCAGCGACACUAUGUGUUGUUGGGUAGGGGAGCGUUCUGUAAGCCUGCGAAGGUGUGCUGUGAGGCAUGCUGGAGGUAUCAGAAGUGCGAAUGCUGACAUAAGUAACGAUAAAGCGGGUGAAAAGCCCGCUCGCCGGAAGACCAAGGGUUCCUGUCCAACGUUAAUCGGGGCAGGGUGAGUCGACCCCUAAGGCGAGGCCGAAAGGCGUAGUCGAUGGGAAACAGGUUAAUAUUCCUGUACUUGGUGUUACUGCGAAGGGGGGACGGAGAAGGCUAUGUUAGCCGGGCGACGGUUGUCCCGGUUUAAGCAUGUAGGCUGAUUGUCCAGGCAAAUCCGGAUAAUCAAGGCUGAGGUGUGAUGACGAGGCACUACGGUGCUGAAGUAACAAAUGCCCUGCUUCCAGGAAAAGCCUCUAAGCAUCAGGUAACAUUAAAUCGUACCCCAAACCGACACAGGUGGUCAGGUAGAGAAUACCAAGGCGCUUGAGAGAACUCGGGUGAAGGAACUAGGCAAAAUGGUGCCGUAACUUCGGGAGAAGGCACGCUGGUGUGUAGGUGAAGUCCCUGCGGAUGGAGCUGAGACCAGUCGAAGAUACCAGCUGGCUGCAACUGUUUAUUAAAAACACAGCACUGUGCAAACACGAAAGUGGACGUAUACGGUGUGACGCCUGCCCGGUGCCGGAAGGUUAAUUGAUGGGGUUAUCCGUAAGGAGAAGCUCUUGAUCGAAGCCCCGGUAAACGGCGGCCGUAACUAUAACGGUCCUAAGGUAGCGAAAUUCCUUGUCGGGUAAGUUCCGACCUGCACGAAUGGCGUAAUGAUGGCCAGGCUGUCUCCACCCGAGACUCAGUGAAAUUGAACUCGCUGUGAAGAUGCAGUGUACCCGCGGCAAGACGGAAAGACCCCGUGAACCUUUACUAUAGCUUGACACUGAACAUUGAGCCUUGAUGUGUAGGAUAGGUGGGAGGCUUUGAAGCGUGGACGCCAGUCUGCGUGGAGCCAACCUUGAAAUACCACCCUUUAAUGUUUGAUGUUCUAACGUUGGCCCCUUACCGGGGUUGCGGACAGUGUCUGGUGGGUAGUUUGACUGGGGCGGUCUCCUCCCAAAGCGUAACGGAGGAGCACGAAGGUUAGCUAAUCCUGGUCGGACAUCAGGAGGUUAGUGCAAUGGCAUAAGCUAGCUUGACUGCGAGCGUGACGGCGCGAGCAGGUGCGAAAGCAGGUCAUAGUGAUCCGGUGGUUCUGAAUGGAAGGGCCAUCGCUCAACGGAUAAAAGGUACUCCGGGGAUAACAGGCUGAUACCGCCCAAGAGUUCAUAUCGACGGCGGUGUUUGGCACCUCGAUGUCGGCUCAUCACAUCCUGGGGCUGAAGUAGGUCCCAAGGGUAUGGCUGUUCGCCAUUUAAAGUGGUACGCGAGCUGGGUUUAGAACGUCGUGAGACAGUUCGGUCCCUAUCUGCCGUGGGCGCUGGAGAAUUGAGGGGGGCUGCUCCUAGUACGAGAGGACCGGAGUGGACGCAUCACUGGUGUUCGGGUUGUCAUGCCAAUGGCACUGCCCGGUAGCUAAAUGCGGAAGAGAUAAGUGCUGAAAGCAUCUAAGCACGAAACUUGCCCCGAGAUGAGUUCUCCCUGAGACUUUAAGUCUCCUGAAGGAACGUUAAAGACGAUGACGUUGAUAGGCCGGGUGUGUAAGCGCAGCGAUGCGUUGAGCUAACCGGUACUAAUGAACCGUGAGGCUUAACCUUACAACGCCGAAG